AAAGUAGGAUAUAAACAGACACAACGUUGAAGACAUAAAAGGUUCAGCCUAAUGUUAGUUUUGCUUCAUCUACACGGAUGUUGGAUUACUACUUUGUUGUCAUUUGAAAAUAUGAAGAUAUAGGUUUCUCGACCACUCGAUGAAAAUCGUUACUAUAUUACACACUGAAGUUGACUUCACAUCAUCCUAGUUUUCCUGUAUAAACGAGGAUUCUCAGCUGUCAUGGCGGGUCGUUUUUGCCUGACAGUUUUGGUCAUAUUUUUUCUGAGCGUCAGUCUGGUCGUCCGUACAGAUGCUGAUGAGUCUGACGUUACUUCAGAGGAAGCUGCGCUUCAGAGGAAUCUGGAGAGAGCUAUUCGGGACGCCGGUCUCAACGAUUGUGCGACUCGAGGGGUGAACGUCAACCGUCUUGACGGUGACAUACAUCGCCAUGGAAAGGUCCGAAAGGUUAGAAGGAGAAGACGGAAGUAUUACGGCCACGGUGGACUUCCACCGGAACAAAACGGAGAGCAUUCAAAACGUUCUUGGUUUCAUACAUCCGUUUCGUAGAGCAAUCUUAGUUACAUUUGGAAGAUUUUCCGAAUAUUGACAUGCAGAAUAUGAUUUACACAGCUGCACCUCUGUUGUUAAAAUGCAGCUGAAAUUUGUUUAAUAAAGACGAAUUACGAAUAGAUAUUUUUUCUUCAAAUUUCAUUCUCUUCUUCAUCAUACUACAAAAUCUGUGCCCAACUUUCCGUUAAAGGUACUGAAAGACUUAAUUCUUUAAUCAUUCAAAAUUCUCCAUGCUUUUCAUGCAACCCGGGACGCAGUUGCUGUGAUGUCAUUCAGGGGAGAUUUGGCUUAGCAAUACGUUUUUCCAUUCGAAUUGUGCACACAUAAUUUACUCAAUGGAAAUAUCUCUGCAAAAGCGCUGACAACUUGCUCAUUACAAUGCAUUUACACAACAAUGAAUAUCUAAAGAACCGAAAAUGUCUGACAACAAAAUCUGUCAAACUUCAGUCAGUUAGUUUCUGUGUACAAACCGAUGUAACACUGAAUUGUUCUUAAUAGGAGAGCAUCACAGACUCGCUCAUUGAUAUGGAAAUGCUUUGAGAUCUUUGAAGAAAAGGAUUCAAUUACAAACCAGUUGUACCUAUCAUUUAAUGAAGUAGCAUCAUCCCGAAACUGGUUAUGUAUUAAAAUGCUCCCUAUUUUAUUGAGAUGUUUUCGUUUCCAUGGAAACGAGUAUAUUUCACUAGGCUUGGGGAACAUAUUACUUUACCUGUUUAAAUAUUCGGUCUGUAUAGGAAGAGAGCCGUUAAUGUAUCCAGAAAUAUAUAAAAAGUACUGUUCCACU